rnacentral:rRNA from 1 species
AUGAACGCUGGCGGCGUGUCUAAUACAUGCAAGUCGAGCGAACAGACGAGGAGCUUGCUCCUCUGACGUUAGCGGCGGACGGGUGAGUAACACGUGGAUAACCUACCUAUAAGACUGGGAUAACUUCGGGAAACCGGAGCUAAUACCGGAUAAUAUAUUGAACCGCAUGGUUCAAUAGUGAAAGACGGUUUUGCUGUCACUUAUAGAUGGAUCCGCGCCGCAUUAGCUAGUUGGUAAGGUAACGGCUUACCAAGGCAACGAUGCGUAGCCGACCUGAGAGGGUGAUCGGCCACACUGGAACUGAGACACGGUCCAGACUCCUACGGGAGGCAGCAGUAGGGAAUCUUCCGCAAAGGGCGAAAGCCUGACGGAGCAACGCCGCGUGAGUGAUGAAGGUCUUCGGAUCGUAAAACUCUGUUAUUAGGGAAGAACAAAUGUGUAAGUAACUAUGCACGUCUUGACGGUACCUAAUCAGAAAGCCACGGCUAACUACGUG